rnacentral:rRNA from 1 species
GACGAACGCUGGCGGCGUGCUUAACACAUGCAAGUCGAACGGUAAGGCCCUUCGGGGUACACGAGUGGCGAACGGGUGAGUAACACGUGGGUGAUCUGCCCUGCACUUCGGGAUAAGCCUGGGAAACUGGGUCUAAUACCGGAUAGGACCACUGCCUGCAUGGGUGGUGGUGGAAAGCUUUUGCGGUGUGGGAUGGGCCCGCGGCCUAUCAGCUUGUUGGUGGGUGGAUGGCCUACCAAGGCGACGACGGGUAGCCGGCCUGAGAGGGUGACCGGCCACACUGGGACUGAGAGACGGCCCAGACUCCUACGGGAGGCAGCAGUGGGGAAUAUUGCACAAUGGGCGCAAGCCUGAUGCAGCGACGCCGCGUGAGGGAUGACGGCCUUCGGGUUGUAAACCUCUUUCAGCACCGACGAAGCGCAAGUGACGGUAGGUGCAGAAGAAGGACCGGCCAACUACGUGCCAGCCGCCGCCGCAGUAA